rnacentral:rRNA from 1 species
CCUGGCUCAGGACGAACGCUGGCGGCGUGCCUAAUACAUGCAAGUCGAGCGCGGGAAGCGAGUGGAUCCCUUCGGGGUGAAGCUCGUGGAACGAGCGGCGGACGGGUGAGUAACACGUGGGCAACCUGCCUGUAAGACCGGAAUAACCCCGGGAAACCGGGGCUAAUGCCGGGUAAUACUUUUCUUCGCAUGAAGGAAAGUUGAAAGAUGGCUUCUUGCUAUCACUUACAGAUGGGCCCGCAGCGCAUUAGCUAGUUGGUGAGGUAACGGCUCACCAAGGCGACGAUGCGUAGCCGACCUGAGAGGGUGAUCGGCCACACUGGGACUGAGACACGGCCCAGACUCCUACGGGAGGCAGCAGUAGGGAAUCUUCCGCAAUGGACGAAAGUCUGACUGAGCAACGCCGCGUGAACGAUGAAGGUCUUCGGAUCGUAAAGUUCUGUUGUUAGGGAAGAACAAGUACCGUGCGAAUAGAGCGGUACCUUGACGGUACCUAACGAGGAAGCCCCGGCUAACUACGUGCCAGCAGCCGCGGUAAUAC